GAGACAGAGGCAAAUCGCAGGUUCGUGCGUGAAUCUAAUCAAAGUUUCUCAUUAACUUCUGCGUUAGAUUCACGCACAAACUUGUCAUUUCCCUUUUCUU
rnacentral:pre_miRNA from 1 species